ACGAACGCUGGCGGCAGGCCUAACACAUGCAAGUCGAACGCCCCGCAAGGGGAGUGGCAGACGGGUGAGUAACGCGUGGGAACAUACCCUUCGGUUUGGAAUAACUCAGGGAAACUUGAGCUAACACCAGAUACGCCCCCGCGCAAUCGGGGGGAAAGAUUUAUCGCCGAAGGAUUGGCCCGCGUCCGAUUAGCUAGUUGGUGAGGUAAUGGCUCACCAAGGCGACGAUCGGUAGCUGGUCUGAGAGGAUGAUCAGCCACAUUGGGACUGAGACACGGCCCAAACUCCUACGGGAGGCAGCAGGUGGGGAAUAUUGGACAAUGGGCGAAAGCCUGAUCCAGCCAUGCCGCGUGAGUGAUGAAGGCCCUAGGGUUGUAAAGCUCUUUCAUCAGGGACGAUAAUGACGGUACC
rnacentral:rRNA from 1 species